GUGCUCAUGUUGGCAGCACAGAUAGUAAAACUGGAAUUACAUAGAGAAGAUUAGUGUGGGCCCCAUGUAAAGGUGACAUGAAUAUUUGCAAAGCACUCCCUAUUUUU
rnacentral:snRNA from 1 species